rnacentral:misc_RNA from 1 species
GAUGAAGAACUCAGCGAAAUGCGAUAAGUAGUGUGAAUUGCAGAAUUCAGUGAAUCAUCGAAUCUUUGAACGCACAUUGCGCCCCUUGGUAUCCCGAGGGGCAUGCCUGUUCGAGCGUCAUUUCACCACUCAAGCCUGGCUUGGUGUUGGGCGACGUCCCCUUUGGGGACGCGCCUCGAAACGCUCGGCGGCGUGGCACCGGCUUUAAGCGUAGCAGAAUCUUUCGCUUUGGAAGUCGGGGCCCCGUCUGCCGGAAGACCUACUCGCAAGGUUGACCUCGGAUCAGGCAGGGAUACCCGCUGAACUUAAGCAUAUCAAUAAGCGGAGGA